GACGAUGCCGGGGAGCGCUCGGCCGAUAGCGGCAAGUUGAUGUCGGGCGGGCCGGCCAGCUGGCGCUGAAUCGUCAACUCCCGGUCACACUCGUCAUGGUGAGGGGACGGCGCCGAAGGGCCGCCUGCGGGGUCCAUGGAAAGGAGGGUGGAGGGGUGGUGGUUCUCCAUGGACAGGGUGGUCAGGAGGGACUCCCCCAUGCCAGUUUCUUCGUGUUUUCGCCUGUCUUGCCGACCUUACCGCCUCCGACGCCUCCUCGACCGCCGCCGCUAUCUGU
rnacentral:misc_RNA from 1 species